GUCUACGGCCAUACCACCCUCAACGCGUCCGAUCUCGUCCUUCUUCUUGGAAGCUAAGCAGGGUCGGGCCUGGUUAGUACUUGGAUGGGAGAACUCCCAGUGAGAAAUAGUUUCCUUGCCA
rnacentral:rRNA from 1 species